AGAUGCAAUAUCUGAAGACAGAGCACAAGAGGACGGAUUUGCCAAGAUUGCCAUGAAGCGGUGAAGCCUUCAGGAGUUUGAUCAAGGGAUACCUCAACAUUUUAGAGAGUGGCUCUAUCUCCUCACUUGGGGUCUAGACAACACUGUGAUGCUUGGAGCAGCUAUCAUAUAUGGCAAAAUCAGGCAGUUAAUGGCUUCCAGAACAUCUCCUGGGAAGAUCCUGUCAGCCAGUAGACCUGCGCACAGCAAAGGGUCACAGCUUCCCUAGGGGCAGUACAGUACAAGCAGAGGGGAGGCCUUCAUAGUUGAUGCCAUUCAGAGCUCAGUUCACAGAGUGCUUUAUAUGGAAAGGACAGAAGACAACAUGCUCCUGGAAGCAGGAGCUGAAGCAGCCCAUGCCCUUCUGCUUCCAUACCCAAGAUCCAAGCCAGACAUCCUCCUGUCCUGGGACAAAGCCCUGUUGCCUUUGCAGCACACUCACAGUGGAGGACAGUUUACCUUUGAAUGGCUUAAACAUUCCUACCCAGCAUGAAGGAGAACAGUGGGAACGGACAUCUCUAAAGCAAACAAACCACCAGUUACACCACCUCUUCAAAUGCUGGGGAAAUUAAUUCCUUCCCUCAAAUAUAUUAUGGACGGUAUUCUAGAAACAGAAUAAAAAGCCCCACCUAAAUUAGUUUCCAGUGUGGAAGAAUCUGUAAAUAAACUAAUUAGAAAUUAAUUGGCUAAUACAUAUAGAU